CGCGACGAGAAUCAUAUUAUAGGGCUGC
rnacentral:sRNA from 1 species